GACUUUUAGCCCUGAGCUUUCCAGAGUGUGAUGCUGAGGCCUCAUCUGAGGAUGAGAGCUCCAACAAUAGGGAAAACCUCGAUUAGCAAGCCCUGGGGAGGGUAGCAGGAGAUGUAGGAUAUAAGGCUAUGAUUUGAAUGUGAGCAGGUGCAAUGCAAACUGCUGGCAAGGCAGCAGUGCUCAGGCAGCAGAUGUGUUUCUAGUGGCCUCCAGGAUCACUGGAGUGGCCUGUGCCUCCCCAGGGGAAAAGUAGGGUGAACUCCUCUGUUAUUUGUGGAAUUUUACAUCCUGGGCCUCCAACUGUUCUGCCUGCUAAGAGGUUCCAAGUGGACUUAUUUUGGUAAGUAGAGAUUUUAAAUACUUUUUUGUUGAAAAGAAAAUAGAAAUGGUUGUAUUUAAUGAGAAAAACAGAAACUUCAUGCUCUGUGGAGGUGAUUUUGAAGGGUGGGAAGCACAGUUCUUGUAUUGUAGAAAGAGAGUACAAAGGCAUCUCCUAAGAACACUUCAACUUGGGUUGCAUACCGCACUUUCUCCAAAC
rnacentral:sRNA from 1 species